GACGAGGGAUCCUAGCGUUGUUCGGAAUCAUUGGGCGUAAAGCGGGUGUAGGUGGCUUUGUAAGUCAGGUGUGAAAGCCCAGGGCUCAACCCUGGAAGUGCAUUUGAUACUGCGAAGCUUGAGUGCUGGAGAGGUAAGUAGAAUUCCUGGUGUAGUGGUGAAAUACGUAGAUAUCAGGAGGAAUACCGGAGGCGAAGGCGGCUUACUAGCCAGACACUGACAGCUCAGAACCCGAAAGUGUGGGGAUCAAACAGG
rnacentral:rRNA from 1 species